rnacentral:rRNA from 1 species
GACGAACGCUGGCGGCGUGCCUAACACAUGCAAGUCGAACGGAACUGUUUUGAAAGAUUUCUUCGGAAUGAAUUUGAUUUAGUUUAGUGGCGGACGGGUGAGUAACACGUGAGUAACCUGCCUUCAAGAGGGGAAUAACAUUCUGAAAAGAAUGCUAAUACCGCAUGACAUAUCGGAACCACAUGGUUUUGAUAUCAAAGAUUUUAUCGCUUGAAGAUGGACUCGCGUCCGAUUAGUUAGUUGGUGAGGUAACGGCUCACCAAGACCGCGAUCGGUAGCCGGACUGAGAGGUUGAACGGCCACAUUGGGACUGAGACACGGCCCAGACUCCUACGGGAGGCAGCAGUGGGGGAUAUUGCGCAAUGGGGGCAACCCUGACGCAGCAACGCCGCGUGAAGGAUGAAGGUUUUCGGAUUGUAAACUUCUUUUAUUAAGGACGAAAAAUGACGGUACUUAAUGAAUAAGCUCCGGCUAACUACGUG